rnacentral:rRNA from 1 species
AUGCAAGUCGAACGAGAAAGUCCCUUCGGGGACGAGUAAAGUGGCGAAAGGGUGAGGAAUACAUGGGUAACGUACCUCGAGCACGAGGACAGCUGCGGGAAACUGCAGGUAAUACUCGAUGAGACCACAGCAUCUCAUGAUGCAGCGGUCAAAGGGCGGGGAUCCCUUCGGGGACCUGUUGGCUUGAGAGCGGCCCAUGUCUUAUCAGCUUGUUGGUGAGGUAACGGCUCACCAAGGCAACGACGAGUACCGGGGCUGAGAGGCUGACCCGGCACAUUGGGACUGAGACACUGCCCAGACUCCUACGGGAGGCUGCAGUAACGAAUAUUCCGCAAUGGGCGAAAGCCUGACGGAGCGACGCCGCGUGUGGGAAUAAGCUCUUCGGGGUGUAAACCACUGUCAGGGGUUACCAAGUAAUGGGAGCUAAUAUCUCCUUGCGCUGAGGAUCCCCAAAGGAAGCCACGGCUAACUUCGUGCCAGCAGCCGCGGUAAUACGAAGGUGGCAAGCGUUGUUCGGAAUCACUGGGCUUUAAGAGCACGUAGGUGGCCCGUCAAGUGUCUUGUGAAAUCCCUCGGCUCCACCGAAGAAUUGCUGGGCGAACUGUCGGGCUUGAGGCAGGUAGG